AUUGAACGCUAGCGGGAUGCUUUACACAUGCAAGUCGAACGAGUGGCGGACGGGUGAGUAAUCUAUCGGAACGUGCCCAGUAGCGGGGUAUAACUACCCGAAAGAGUGGCUAAUACCGCCUACUAUUGGAGCGGCCGAUAUCGGAUUAGCUCGUUGGUGGGGUAAAGGCUCACCAAGGCAACGAUCCGUAGCUGGUUUGAGAGGACGACCAGCCAGACUGGGACUGAGAAACGUGACAGACUCCUACGGAAAGCAGCAGUGGGGAAGUUUGGACAAUGGGGGAAACCCUGAUCCAGCCAUCCCGCGUGUAGGAGAGGGCCUUCGGGUUGUAAAGUACUUUUGGCAGAGAAGCGGUAUCUGCAGAAUAAGCACCGGCUAACUACGUGCCAGCAGCCGCGGUAAUUC
rnacentral:rRNA from 1 species